rnacentral:rRNA from 1 species
CCCUGCCAUUUGUACACACCGCCCGUCGCUACUACCGAUUGAAUGAUCCAGUGAGGGCAUCGGACUGGCGCCCUGGGUAAUUUUUUAGUUACCUUUGGGUCGACGGAAAGAUGUCCGAACUUGGUCAUUUAGAG